ensembl:lncRNA
GGUAAGAACAGGGAAGAUUGUAUGGGCAAAGCCUGGGCCAGCACCUCACUGAGGAGCCAGGCUCCCUUGAAGCCAGCACAGCUACAAUACCACUCAGUUGUAGCAUCACAGCUUGUGUCCCUGCCAGGAGUGGGCACGGGCUACCCCUGUUGGCACCACUGUCUGUGCUGCCCUUGGGAACUGGAUCUUGCUGCCUUUGCUUGCUACCCUCGGAAGGAAUGCUCUGCUCUCUUUCCUUUGCGUCAUUAGCUUCUGAUUCAAAAACCUGAGCAGAUGCAUCUGCCAUGCCUGGUGCUCAAGAAUAUUUGUUGAGUGAAUCGUUUAGAAAAAAUGCAAAUCUGAGGACUUCCCUGGUGGUCCAGUGGUUAAGAAUCUGCCUGCCGAUGUAGAGGACACGACCCGCACGCUGCCACUAUUCAGUCUGUGCUCUAGAACCUGGAGCUGCAGCUACUGACUGUCGUACCCUCGAGGCUGUGCUCCGCAGCAAGACACUGCAGUGAGAAGCGCUGUACAUCAAAACUGGAGAAAGCGGGCGUGCAACAACGAAGACCCAGCGCAGCCAUAAAGAAAUAGAUAAAAUGCAAAUCAGAUCAUGUCUCUCAGCUUAAAAUGUUCCAUUAACUUUAGGAUGAAAACGAAAAUGGUCAACGCAGAUAGAAGGUCCUGAGGGCUGUGUCCCCCCCAACCUCGCAGCCUUACCUGGAGCCACUCUCGCCCUGGCUCUCUACUUGUCCAGCUCACAGUGACUUUCUGGUCACUCUUCUACUAACCUCCUCUCUCAGGGCUUUAUCACUUGCUUUUCCUUGACCUGCAAGGCUGGACACUUUUUCUCAGCCUUGGUUUUGGCUCAGUCAUGACUGUUCUGAUAACCUAGUAUUGUUACAUGGCCCCUGGGUAAGGAGGGAAACACCUCUCUGGCUUGUUUAGGAAUGGAUUUGUUCCAUUCUGGCCCAGCAAGACCAGCCCUAAGAGAAGGGACCUGUCUGGUGUCUUCACUCUCCUGGUGGUAAUGCCAGGCUAGGUGAUACUUGGGGAUGUGGGCCUGACCUCUGCAGGGGCCUCUGAAGCUCCUUGUCCAGUCCAGCUUGCCUUCUCAUGGAGGAGGCGAGCUCUGACUCCAGGCCAGAGAUUGAUCUUGGCAAUGGGAUUGUCUGACGGCAACUGCACCCUUCAUUUCCCCUUGGUUCAUAUAUUCUGAGUGCCAGCAGGCCUGGCUCAGAGCCAUCUUGGCAAAGAGGAAUUUUUACAACCUGAUUGAUUUAACUUUGCUUUCUUCCCAAAUUCCUAUCCUUAAGCAGAAAUAGUCUCCAAAUAGCUUUUGUACCAAGGAUGAUAUGAUUGGGAAAGCAAGCAGGGGAAGAUAGUGAUCACAAGGACACCUAAGCUGUAAAU